CUCCUUCUGAGGCCACCUUGU
rnacentral:siRNA from 1 species